AGUUUCAGGAGGACUCUCUGGAGGGGCAUGCACUGCUGGUAGGCACACGGGGAAGGAGGACCACAGGAAGGAAGCAAGAUCAGAAGGGGGCCAAGGUUGGAAAAGGAUGAAAAACACUGCACUAAAGGAUUCUAAGUUCCUCUUUAAACUACAAAUCUCAGGAUUCUAUAGGAUGGAGAAUUGGCAGGGCGAAAGGGAGAAACCUGCCAAGAGGAAGGCUCGCCAAGCCAACCCUGACCAGGACUGCCGUCCACCUGGAAACUGAUAUUCUCACUGUGGAAGAACAUGCAGGUCAAAAAUAGGACUCUACAGUCACCUACUUAUCCACCGCUGAGACACUUCACUUGGAAGGCCAUCAUACUUGGACAAUGAGGAAUCGCCUACGUAAAUAAGUAUUCACUAUAUUAGUGUUAUUUGCAUGGAAAAAGCAAGACAGAAUAAAAGAAGAUAUACAGCAGUGCACCUAUAAUCAUUAUAAGGUUGACUUCAUAAAGUUACUCAUGAAAUCUUGUAUACUCUAUCAGAGAUAUCCAAAUGCAGAAGAAACAUGUAUUCUAUGCAACCAAAAUAAUGUGGAAUCACUGAUUCAAUGUAGUCACAUGACGCAUAAGACAGAUUCACAGCACAACUGCUGCAGCCAGUCUUACCCCACAACAUUGUAAAGUGAGAGUUAGUCCAGAGCUUACUGGAAGGUGUGAACAGCUGGACUGGGCUGGAUCUAGCCCAAUCCACUAUCCAUACCACCAACAGGCCCACCACUACCACAUCACCAGCAAGCAAGCAAGCUACUUCCUGAUGAUGUCACAUUUCUAGUGAUGUAAUGUUAAGUGCAAAGCUAUGUGACCAGAAAUGUCAUUAGCAAGACAGCAGUAGAUGUAUUUAUUGGGGUGGAAUGGAUCACCAUCUAUUAGGAUCGCAAAUCCAAUGGGGUAGCAGAGUUUGAGAUGAGUAUUCCUUGAGUUUAUUUGAUGCUUUAGGUAGACAAAGAUACAAGCAGAGUUCUUUUGAAAAUAACAAUGACCAUUUACUUAUAACUUUAUGUAUUUAACAAUACAGGCAUAUUUCUUUUGACAGGGUAAACUUCAAAAUGUUGAGAGUUUGUAUAUUAAACUUCUUCAUAAACUA